UCGGUGGUAAUAAGACAAACACCUGACCUUUCUCUCAUCUCUUAAAUACCAUUGCUACCCAUCAUUUUCUUCCUGAACCAUCUUCUUCCCACCGAACAUGUGUCUUCCAGUCCUUUUCAUCCCGAUCUUUGAUUAAUCGAACCCACAACGCAAGUAUCUACAAGUUCAUCUUCAUCCACUCAAAUCAAACAAGCGUUGAUUCUACGCACUGCCCCCGAUUCAUCAACUACAACACAAGACGGUGCUUCGGUGGCCGUGAGCGACGGUGACGGGGCCGGUGACAGGGGUUCUCGACGGCGACGGUGGUGCCUCAGAGUUCCGGCAGCCGUGACUCCGUCGGUAAGAACAUCUGUUCUUUCUUUCUCGAAAUUCUUUUUUUUUUCCGGUGAUUAUUGAUGAUUAUGGUAACUGAUGUUGAUAAUAAUGAUGAUGGUGUCGACUUCCGGCGAGUGCCGCUAAUGUUGACGAUGAUGAAGAUGUGUCUGCUAUUGACGUGAUGAUGUUGAUGAUGAGGAAGACAGUGGUGGUUUUCAGGUCUUGGCUCGAUUGCUGAACUCCGGUCCGGCCCUCACGGAAACAAGCUCAGUGCAGUUUUGGUUCAAAGCUUCGGGUUUCGGUUCGGUCAACAACAAUCAACUGGUGGUUUGGUUCAGAUUACGGUCCGGAUCAGUUUCGGGCGAUUCGGGUUCGUGACACGGUCAAAGUCAGUCAACGAAAGCCAACUGGUCAACCCCAGUCAACUUUUGGGUCAAACUUAGUCGACGAAAGACCCGACUAUUGAUACGUAGAAGAAUGCUUCUUCUAGAAUGGGUGUUGCUGCUCACUGUAAAGGCACCUUCUUGGAACUACAAAGAAAGAAGGCACACCGUUACAUGAUUUUCGAAAUUGACAAAAAGAAAACUCAAGUUGUUGUGGAGAAGACUGGCAAUCCUGCUGAAAGUUACGAUGAUUUUACAUCGGCUUUGCCCGAAAAUGAUUGCAGAUACGCAAUCUUUGACUUUGUAACCUCUGAGAACUGUCAAAAGAGCAAGAUUUUCUUCAUCGCAUGGUUAGUUUUCUCUUUUUCCUA